GAUGAACGCUGGCGGCGUGCCUAAUACAUGCAAGUCGAGCGAACAGACGAGGAGCUUGCUCCUCUGACGUUAGCGGCGGACGGGUGAGUAACACGUGGAUAACCUACCUAUAAGACUGGGAUAACUUCGGGAAACCGGAGCUAAUACCGGAUAAUAUAUUGAACCGCAUGGUUCAAUAGUGAAAGACGGUUUUGCUGUCACUUAUAGAUGGAUCCGCGCCGCAUUAGCUAGUUGGUAAGGUAACGGCUUACCGAGGCAACGAUGCGUAGCCGACCUGAGAGGGUGAUCGGCCACACUGGAACUGAGACACGGUCCAGACUCCUACGGGAGGCAGCAGUAGGGAAUCUUCCGCAAUGGGCGAAAGCCUCACGGAGCAACGCCGCGUGAGUGAUGAAGGUCUUCGGAUCGUAAAACUCUGUUAUUAGGGAAGAACAAAUGUGUAAGUAACUAUGCACGUCUUGACGGUACCUAAUCAGAAAGCCACGGCUAACUACGUG
rnacentral:rRNA from 1 species